UACAUGGGGUGCAAACGUUGCUCGGAAUUAUUGGGCGUAAAGCGCGCGUAGGCGGUUACUCAAGUCGGAUGUGAAAGCCCUCGGCUUAACUGAGGAAGUGCACCCGAAACUGAGUAGCUAGAGUACCAAAGAGGGUCGCGGAAUUCCCGGUGUAGAGGUGAAAUUCGUAGACAUCGGGAGGAACACCGGUGGCGAAGGCGGCGACCUGGGUGGAUACUGACGCUGAGGCGCGAAAGCGUGGGGAGCGAACAGG
rnacentral:rRNA from 1 species